UGAAUUUCAUCCAAGACUGCUGCUCACUGGGACACCUGAGACAACAGGCCACACAGAGCCAAAGGGCAGUUGUAAACUGAAAUAGGCAGAGUUGCAACCGGUCUCUCCUUCCUGAUUGCAGUUGAGUGGUAGAAGCCUGAAGAACUCCUGCUGCCCAGGCUGCCAGGAUUUCUCAGAAAGACACCCACAUGAUCACCGUGGUGCUCACAGAAGCCUUUGUUGGGAAGAAGCUCACCCAGCCUGGCAAAGGGAGCAGGAGGGAGAGAAGCCCAUGUGAGGCUGUCGGGGUAUUCCCAGAUCCUCUGUGGGUUCACUGAUUCAUCUUCUCCAUUGCUGACACCUAAAUGCUUCCAAGGGAAGGCAAGAAACCAGAAAGCAAGUGGGGGCCCAACCUCUAUGGGCUUUGUCCCUGGAGAGCCUGAAAGGACACACUGCUUCAGAUCUGCUUCCCAAGGAUGGUGUGCAGGACUUCCAGAGGAACAUUUGGAGCUCCCCAUGGACCAUUUUGCCCGACCAGCAAAAGCUUACUGAAGAAGAUAAGGGAGAAUUUCCUUUUGUUUCCCUCUGCUAGCUCAUAGCUUUGACCCUCCUGUCCCUAUUCACUGCUGGAUUUUGUUUCAUAGCAUAGGUGCCCUGGGGGACAACGGUGCGCAGUUUGCACAGCGGACGUGCAGGACUCAGUGCAGCCCAACUUCCCACCCAUUUACCCACUCCUUCAGGGCAGUUUCAUUGCCUGCACCAAGCACCCAGGAGCACAGCUGGCUGAUGCCACUGCCAGCAUCCAGGCAGACUCUUGUGAUCCCAGCCACGGCCAGCAGACUGCACGUAGAUUGAUUUCACUCUCAGUUUUGCAGCUCGGGCCAACUGGGAAUGUAAACCGCACUGACCAAGCAGAGUUGGGGAAGCUGCCAGCAAAUGCAGAAAAAAGGAAAGGAAGGAAGAUGUGGAAAGCAUGAGAAGUGUUUUGGAAUAGACAUCAGUGUCCAGAGCCCAUUGGAAGCAUGCUGUAUGCAGGCGUCUCCCAGCGCUUGAUGAAGAGUGAAAAAAUGAAGAGUAAGGCAGAAGAGCCAAACCAACACAUUCAGGAGAUACAGGUCCAGAUUGUGAAAAGUGUUGAGGUAUUCCCAGCACGCGGAUUUUUAUGGUGCAUCUGAGAACCAACCACAAUGAGAAAGAAACUUCAAAAGGAAAGUCAGGAGGAAGAAGCGUGGAGGGAAUUCAGACAGCAAGGAGCAGAGCAUGGCAGCGGCGCUGGGUUUGCUGUUGGCAUUGCUCCCCGCUCUCCUGCAGUCCCAGCUGGACCCCAAGGGCUGGGGACCCAGCAAGGCAGCCUGUGUUAAGGGCAGGCAGGUCUUUGGGAGUAUGGGAUUUCAGGUUUUCAGUGCCCUCGCAGCAGGUUGCAAUAGCAGGGCAAGUCCAAGAUACGGUAGAUGUAGCUCCUUUGUACCUCUGCAGUGAUUUCUACUUUGAAUGACAGUAAAUACUUGUUACCCCAUCUUCAAAGAGUCUGACAUCAAGAAAAUGUGUUGGGAUUAGGAAACAUCGUUCUAGUGAGCAGGUACCUGCGGAAGACCCUUAGCCAGUUUGGCUCCUGGCAGGCUGAGCUUGCAGCUGGCUGCGGGUAAAUCCAGACAAGUGUCCACGACAGCAGUCAGCCGGGCUGAUGUGUGCAGGAGGAGUGCCUCGGCUCACUGAAAGGUGGCCAGAUGUGAUGGAGUAUAUUCUGAGCAACUCUUAUUCAGGAGUCAAGACUUUCUGGGAAUAUUUCCCAAAUUAAAUGGAAAAGUAAUUCCUUUAAGCCAGCCAGGCAUGACUGACAUGACAAAUGGCGAAGAGGCUACCUGGAGCCAUCACUGCCCAGCCUCUCCACGGCUUGGUCAGCCCUGCAGCUCAUCUUUGGGAAAUGACUGGGGUUACUGUGUUCCAUUAAAAACGUCACUUCAUCCACAGACCAGAGGGAGACUCUCAGCUGCCUGGAAACAGCAUAAUUUUAUCAAAACCAGUCAAGAGGUAGCAGGGUGCAUCACUGGAGCAUCUGGGCUGCUGUGUUCUUUUGAUUUUUUAUUACACGGCUUUUCGCUUGGGGAUUUCAGUGCCUUUCCCUCGUGGUUUGUAUCUAACAGAAUGCAUUGCUGCAGGAGAGUACAUCAUCAGUGUGAGCGCUCUGUGUCAUUUUCUGACACAGAAUCAAUAUGAUUUUUGCUACGUUGCUGUCAGCUUGGCUUCAACAAAUGUUACAGACCUGCUGUCCUCAGCAUAGUACGUCUUCAGUGUAGGAGAUAGCCUUGACCAAAAAAUCAAAUACUGUUAUCCCAGUUUAUUGGAAGAGAACAGAGCCCUGGAAAUACCUGAGAUGUUCAAGAAAGCAUAACUCUCCCACAGCUGCAUUCUGUAGGCAUUAAAUUGGUCUAACCGGCUUCCAGAAGCGCAUCCCGAGCCUCCCAGCACGGAAUCAUCCCCCUGGUAUGACCAGGGGAACGUCUCACGUCCGUCCUCUCCACCAGCAUCACUGUGUACCUAUUAGCACUGAGACUGCACCACUGUAUCUCUGUGGGAUGCCCGAAUGCCAGGUGGUCUGCUGAACCCAGGAAGGAAGACAUGGAGUGUGUUUUGGGAUACCCAGUGUGGCCAUCAGCCUGGCUUACACAUCUCGGGGUGAGCAGUCACAGCGUGCUUGCAUUUAGCUGCACACAGCACAAGGCUGGCACAGCUGGGAUAUUACAGACUCGAGGUCGAUGUGCUAGACAGUAGAUUUGCAGUUUGCGCUCCAGUUUCCAUCUCAGGCACGUGGGGCUAACAGCACACAUGCUCCGGGAGCACACACCCCUCAUCCAUCUGGGAUUCCCCAUUCAGAAGUACGGCGGCUCUGCAAUCCUAUUUCAUACCUCGCGAUGCUGGGGUGCCGUUGCUCACGCUGGGAAGCAGCAUUUUAUCUACAAUUCCAACUUACAUACUCCUGCAGCCUGUUUUCCACCCGAGCACCCUCCCCAGGUACCCAAUAGUGGCAGUGGUCACUGAGCUAACAAAAGGUUGGCCCAGGCAAUGCCAUGGGCAGAUGCCGCAGCCCUUCCCCGCAGCGGUGCCGUCCCGGUGCGGAGCUCCUUUACUCACUGAGAUUUUUGUCAACACCUUAGCAUUAUUAAAAUGUUGUUUUUAAAGUCAAUUUCCU